CUGGCUUUCAAGGAAAAGUAGAUGGUUUCCAAAAAUAUCAAGAUUUAUAAAAAACAUACAGAACAAUUUGAAAGCAAUAAAUUAAUUGAGGAAAUCAAUUUUGUAAAAUAUCUUCCUCGACCUUUAUGUAUUAAGUGUGGAAAGAUAAUAACAACCCAAGGCCAAAGAUGGCAUUGUUUGAUAUGUAAGGACUUUUUCUUGUGCCAGCUCUGCUAUCUAGAAGAUGGUCAUGAGCACGAGUGUUACAAUAAUACUUGGGCAAAACAUUUUGAUCAAAAAAGACAGUUGCUGUUUAAGAAAGGGGGAACCUUUACAAAGGAAUGU